rnacentral:rRNA from 1 species
CCUACGGGAGGCAGCAGUGAGGAAUAUUGGUCAAUGGGAGAGAUCCUGAACCAGCCAAGCCGCGUGAGGGAAGACGGCCCUAUGGGUUGUAAACCUCUUUUGUCGGAGAACAAAACCCGGGACGUGUCCCGGACUGCGUGUAUCCGAAGAAAAAGCAUCGGCAAACUCCGUGCCAGCAGCCGCGUUAAUACGGGGGAUGCGAGCUUUAUCCGGAUUUAUUGGGGUAAAAGGGUGCGUAGGCGGUCCGUUAAGUCAGCGGGAAAAUUGCGGGGCUAAACCCCGUCGAGCCGUUGAAACUGGCAGACUUGAGUUGGCGAGAGGUACGCGGAAUGCGCGGUGUAGCAGUGAAAUGCAUAGAUAUCGCGCAGAACUCCGAUUGCGAAGGCAGCGUACCGGCGCCAGACUGACGCUGAGGCACGAAAGCGUGGGGAUCGAACAGGAUUAGAUACCCUUGUAGUC